rnacentral:rRNA from 2 species
AAAUUGAAGAGUUUGAUCAUGGCUCAGAUUGAACGCUGGCGGCAGGCCUAACACAUGCAAGUCGAACGGUAACAGGAAGCAGCUUGCUGCUUUGCUGACGAGUGGCGGACGGGUGAGUAAUGUCUGGGAAACUGCCUGAUGGAGGGGGAUAACUACUGGAAACGGUGGCUAAUACCGCAUAACGUCGCAAGACCAAAGAGGGGGACCUUCGGGCCUCUUGCCAUCAGAUGUGCCCAGAUGGGAUUAGCUAGUUGGUGAGGUAACGGCUCACCAAGGCGACGAUCCCUAGCUGGUCUGAGAGGAUGACCAGCCACACUGGAACUGAGACACGGUCCAGACUCCUACGGGAGGCAGCAGUGGGGAAUAUUGCACAAUGGGCGCAAGCCUGAUGCAGCCAUGCCGCGUGUAUGAAGAAGGCCUUCGGGUUGUAAAGUACUUUCAGCGGGGAGGAAGGUGUUGUGGUUAAUAACCGCAGCAAUUGACGUUACCCGCAGAAGAAGCACCGGCUAACUCCGUGCCAGCAGCCGCGGUAAUACGGAGGGUGCAAGCGUUAAUCGGAAUUACUGGGCGUAAAGCGCACGCAGGCGGUCUGUCAAGUCGGAUGUGAAAUCCCCGGGCUCAACCUGGGAACUGCAUUCGAAACUGGCAGGCUUGAGUCUUGUAGAGGGGGGUAGAAUUCCAGGUGUAGCGGUGAAAUGCGUAGAGAUCUGGAGGAAUACCGGUGGCGAAGGCGGCCCCCUGGACAAAGACUGACGCUCAGGUGCGAAAGCGUGGGGAGCAAACAGGAUUAGAUACCCUGGUAGUCCACGCCGUAAACGAUGUCUACUUGGAGGUUGUGCCCUUGAGGCGUGGCUUCCGGAGCUAACGCGUUAAGUAGACCGCCUGGGGAGUACGGCCGCAAGGUUAAAACUCAAAUGAAUUGACGGGGGCCCGCACAAGCGGUGGAGCAUGUGGUUUAAUUCGAUGCAACGCGAAGAACCUUACCUGGUCUUGACAUCCACAGAACUUUCCAGAGAUGGAUUGGUGCCUUCGGGAACUGUGAGACAGGUGCUGCAUGGCUGUCGUCAGCUCGUGUUGUGAAAUGUUGGGUUAAGUCCCGCAACGAGCGCAACCCUUAUCCUUUGUUGCCAGCGGUUAGGCCGGGAACUCAAAGGAGACUGCCAGUGAUAAACUGGAGGAAGGUGGGGAUGACGUCAAGUCAUCAUGGCCCUUACGACCAGGGCUACACACGUGCUACAAUGGCGCAUACAAAGAGAAGCGACCUCGCGAGAGCAAGCGGACCUCAUAAAGUGCGUCGUAGUCCGGAUUGGAGUCUGCAACUCGACUCCAUGAAGUCGGAAUCGCUAGUAAUCGUGGAUCAGAAUGCCACGGUGAAUACGUUCCCGGGCCUUGUACACACCGCCCGUCACACCAUGGGAGUGGGUUGCAAAAGAAGUAGGUAGCUUAACCUUCGGGAGGGCGCUUACCACUUUGUGAUUCAUGACUGGGGUGAAGUCGUAACAAGGUAACCGUAGGGGAACCUGCGGUUGGAUCACCUCCUUACCUGAAAGAAGC